GGGGUUGUGGCUCAGUGGUAGAGCGCUUGCCUAGCAUGCGGGAGGCACUGGGUUCAAUCCCCAGCACCACA
rnacentral:tRNA from 1 species